CUCCCACCCUGGGCAGGCCUCGGGCUCCAGGCUUGUGAGGCUGGGCAGUCAGGCCUGACAGUCCUCAGCCAUCUCAGACACAAGUUCACACCCCUGAGCCUCAGCCCAAGGCUUCACUCUGACUGUUUCCAGGCCAAGACCCAAACCUGCCCCUAGGCUGAGCCUUGCCCCGACCUCCGUGUUGAACCCCGAUCUUAGUCCCUAGACUGAGCGCUGGUCCUGGUUCCAGACUGGGCCCUGACCUUAUUCUAAAACUGAACCCUGAUCUUUUUUCCAAACUGUUCUUUGACUCCAGCUCCAAGCUGAGCUCUGGCCCAAUUCCAGACCAUUCCCUGACCCUGGUUCCAGGUUGAGUCCUUACUAUAGAUUAGCUCUAAACCUAAUCCCCAACUAACUCUUGGCUGUGGUCAGAAAUUCAAUCAUUAUCCAGCCCUAACUUCAGUCCUGACCUCUGUCCUUGGCUGAACUGUGACCGUGACCACAGACCGAUCUCGAAUUUCCAAACAAAGUCAACCCUUGACCUGAAACCUAACCCAGGCGGGACCUAGGAUCCCUUCAGACGGCAGGAUCUGUGCUGGAACUAGAGGGUAUAUUAGUUUCACUGAGCAGAGCUGUGGGGCCUGCGUGCGCAGGUACGGAGGUGAGAACAAAGAAUGACAGUGGCCAUCUCAGAGACGAGAAAAGAGUGGCGAGGAUUGGCCUCCAGAUGGGAGUGGGGUAUGGAAGGCCUCUGGGAUCAGGAUCCACGGCUCCGAUUCUAAUCUGGGCUCUAUCAUUUGUCGUCACCUUAUUUCAGGUCCCCCUUGCCUGAACAGCUAUUCUUUCCUUGCUCACCCCUGCAUCCCCAGGUGCCCCCUCCUCUAGGAAGUCUUCCUGAAGCUCCUUGUGGUGGACAUGAGAUGCACCAUGAGGAUCGCCCUCCAGUGAAAGGCUUGGCAUCCUUGGGUCUCAUGUGCUACCUGCAGACAGCCUGUGUCCUUGGGCCACCACCGCAUUCAGGGCUGCCUGUGUCUGACAACUGCUCAAUGACCUCUGUCAGGGAAGAGGAUCAAAGAACUCCUCCCAGCCAUCCCAACCAACUCAGGACAAAUCUGAAGGAAUGUCCUCCCUCCAGUGCUCCCCUAGGGGCAGCUGAGGUCCAUGGACCAGUACUGAGGUCUCCCCUUCCCCCCUCCAGUUUCCUUUCCCUCCCAGAACACUCCCUAAUAAGCACCUACGUGCUUAUUUAGCCUCCGUCUAAACUGCCUCCAGAGAAUCCAGCCUGUGACACCCCUAGUCUGAGUCCUAAAUUACUCCCAGGGAGCCUGGUCAUCUCCUUUGUAAAGCUCAGAAUAACUUAGGGCACUCGCCUGUUUCCUGUCUCCUUCCGCUAGAGUUGUCCUGCAAGGGGGCACGGACACAGCACCAGCAUCACUCGUGCAGGCUGAGAUCACCAGGGAAGAACCGAGAGGCAGAGAAGUGAUUUCACAUCAGCAGCCCCUCAAACUCUCAACAUCCUCAGCGUGGUCCUCACCGUGGCCGGUGUUCCAGCAGAGAGGGGCCCGCCACAGCCAGUGGGCUGGACGUUGCAACAAUCUCCAGGAGAAAGGACAUACCCCACACCCCACACAGUUGGGUCAAGAGGGGGGAGUGGGCAGGCAAUUUCUUUAAGUCACAAGAAAUAUGUCAAGGGAUGUGUGGACGGGAGCUGCACCCCAAGGACUCAGGGAGAGCCCCAAAGGUCUCGGCACGUGGGAGCACUGAUAUUGCCAAAGCUGAUGUUGGCUGCUCCUGACGGACUGGCCUGGUCCAGCCACGCCAGCUCUCUGCUAAGCUACCAAAAGGGAGAGGGAAGGUGGACCCUGCCAGAGCCCCCCAGACUUGUUUCUCAUCAACGAUCCAUGCCUUGUGGGGGUAGAAGCGGAGUCUGUCUUGUUCCCUGCUCACUAAAUUGUGUGCCAUAUGGAUAAAUAAGCACAUGGAUCAAUAAAUAGGGACAGAAAAGCAAUUUACAAACCUGAAGCAUCAUGCAAAGUAGAGGAUAAUUGAGGGGAAAAUGCUUCUUCCAGGAGUUAUUUCUUAGGAAGGGCAAAAAAAAAAAAAAAAAAAAGUCUAUUAAUAGACCCGAUUAAUAAACAUUCAGUCAAGGUAAAUGUUAACAGGAAGUACCUGCACAAAUGUUGGCGGCCUCUCCGGCAGGGCUCAGGGCAGGCUGACAUGCAGGCAAAGAAGGCAUCCUUCUGUUUGCUCAAGGCAGCCUCAUUCCUCGGGCAGCGGCUCCCCAAGUCGCAGAGUGGGGGCCACAGUCCGGGCUUCCUGGAAGCUCACGCUGCUCCAGCUGCUCCUGCCCCUUAGGUGUUCCCGAAACACACCACAGUGUGUUGGUACCUCAAGGUCCUCCCACUUGCCAUUGUCCGUCUUCCCCUCAUUUCCUGCAAAUUUCUGUGCAAAUGAUGCCUCCUCAGAGAAGCUUUUCCUGAUCCCCAACCUAAAAUAGUACCUCCUGUGCCCAUCACUGCUUCUCUCUCUCCCUCUUAAUUCCCUAACUCUGUUUCCCUUUAUUGAAGGGGCUUAUUACAACCUGAAAUCAUAUAUAUAAUAGACACACUUUUAAAAAAUAAUUAUUUCUAUGUGUCCAACUCCCCCCUCCUGAAUGAGGACCGGGACUUUUUCUGUCCCCUUUACUGGUGUAUCUGCUAGAACAGCACCUGGCACUUGAGUGGGCACUCGGUAAAACCAACGAUAAGUGAGGGGUGACCCGGACAGUCCCUGUCCUCAACCAGCUCCCCUCCCAGUAGGCACCCCUGGCAGCUAACCAGGCAGUUUCUCCACCACAGGCUGGGGGGGUCUGACAGGGGCACGCAGGCGGCAUUGGGGACAGUGCAUAAACCUGUGGGAGGGUGAGCAAAGGAUUCCUGCAGGAAGCCGCAUCCGCAUCCGAGCAAGACCUCGGGCUGAGUGGGGAUCCUCCAAGUGAGGGGAAGGAGGAGGAGUGAGUUCUGGGCAGAGAGAUGUACGGUUCAAAAGCCGGAAAGCAAGAGGGAACCUGGCAAGUUGGAAGAUGAUAAAGAAAUUUGGGGGGACUGGACCAGAGCGAGGAGGGGAGAAGAGAUGCAGUAGAGGCUGGGUGGUGGGCUAGGCAGGCUCCCCUCAUGAAGGAUCUGGAACAGACACUAAGCCUAGAAUGACGUAACCAGAUCGUACUUCUACAAACCAGUGUUUUCUCACCGUACCCAGCAUCUCUCGCCCCAGUGAUCAACACUGUUCACACAAUAUUUUACACGCAACCAACUCACUUUAUGUAUAUGCAUUCAUUUACAAGGGAAACCCUUUGUAACACAACCCUAAUUUGUGUCAAAUAUACAAAGUGACAGUAAAACCAAACCUAAUGAAAAUGGAA